rnacentral:rRNA from 1 species
AACGUAGGAGCCAAGCGUUAUCCGAAUUCACUGGGCGUAAAGCGCGCGUAGGCGGCUUUGCAAGUCGGGUGUGAAAUCCCCAGGCUUAACCUGGGAACUGCAUUCGAGACUGCAUUGCUAGAGUAUGGGAGAGGGAAGUGGAAUUUCCGGUGUAGCGGUGAAAUGCGUAGAUAUCGGAAGGAACAUCAGUGGCGAAAGCGACUUCCUGGACCAAUACUGACGCUCAUGUGCGAAAGCGUGGGGAGCAAACAGG